CCUACGGGAGGCUGCAGUAGGGAAUCUUUCACAAUGGGCGAAAGCCUGAUGGAGCAACGCCGCGUGCAGGAUGAAGGCCUUCGGGUUGUAAACUGCUUUUAUAAGCGAGAAAUAUGAUGGUAACUUAUGAAUAAGGAUCGGCUAACUACGUGCCAGCAGCCGCGGUCAUACGUCGGAUCAGCGCAUGAUCCGGAGUGACUGGGUGUAAAGAGUUGCGUAGGUGGGAUAAUAAGUAGCUAGUGAAAUCUGGUGGCUCAACCAUUCAGACUAUUAGCUAAACUGUUAAGCUCGAGACCGUUAGAGGUAACUGGAAUGUCUAGUGUAGGAGUGAAAUGCGUAGAUAUUAGAAGGAACACCAAUAGCGUAGGCAGGUUGCUGGGACGGUUCUGACACUAAGGCACGAAAGCGUAGGGAGCAAACGGGAUUAGAUACCCGGGUAGUC
rnacentral:rRNA from 1 species